AAAAACCACAGAGUCAAGACCACGUUAGAAAUUCGACUUCCUUUUUCUUUAUUUCCUCAUCGCUCCUCAUUAAUCCUUCUCCUCCUCCUCCUCCUUCACCCUGGAUCUGUCAGGUAGCUUGAGGACAGCAUAUCAGACCCGUGUGGAUUUUUCUUCCCUCCUGCCUCGGCUGCUGGAUCUCACUCCCCUGCCCCAGAUGCCAACUCAAGAGUAAAUUAUUGCUGGAGCUUAAUGUGAUCGAUCGGCCAGGCCCUUUCAAGAUCAGCGCCAGUAUAAGCAUCCCUUCCCCUAACACACAUGCUGCCUCUUUCCCCUCAGGUCUGUGCUGUGAGAGGCGUCGAGUGGUUCAGUUUACCGCACGCCCCCGCUGGCCUGUGAUCGAAUCCUGCCAGAGCUCCUGACUCCCCUCUGUCUCCCCCUCUGCUGUCUCAACAAUUAAAUCAGUCAAGGCACGUUUCCCCUUCAAAGUCCCGAGCGUGGAGGAGUGAGGAAAGAAGAGAAAUCGCUGUGUGACGAAGGGGGAGAUGAGGCAACACCGAGGCUGGAGUGAAAUAGAGAUGCAAGGCUGCAAGUCGAUAGGGAAGGCACUUACUCAAGAGUGGGGAAGAGGGAGCGGAAAGAAGGAAUCAAGUUGGAAUCGGGAAAAGAA